rnacentral:rRNA from 1 species
UACAGAGGGUGCGAACGUUGCUCGGAAUUACUGGGCGUAAAGCGCGUGUAGGCUGCAACGUAAGUCGGAUGUGAAAGCCCUUGGCUUAACCAAGGAAGUGCAUCCGAUACUGCGUCGCUUGAGUGUCGGAGGGGAUGGCGGAAUUCCCGGUGUAGAGGUGAAAUUCGUAGAUAUCGGGAGGAACACCUGUGGCGAAGGCGGCCAUCUGGACGAUAACUGACGCUGAGACGCGAAAGCGUGGGUAGCAAACAGG